rnacentral:rRNA from 1 species
GCUCCAGUAGCGUAUAUUAAAGUUGUUGCGGUUAAAAAGCUCGUAGUCGGACAUCUGCCUAGGCCGGCGGAUUUACCGUCCGGUGACUGGGUGGAAUUAGCGUCGGCUGAGGCUCGCCGGGAUGUGGCUGUUGCACUUAGUUGUGUGCGGCGAAUUCCUGGCCUUUACUUUGAAGAAUUAGAGUGUUUCAAGCAGGCUGG